UCCGUUGUUGUCCAGCAGUUAGGAUAUUUGGCUUUCACCCAGGAGACUCGGUUCGAUUCCUAGCAACGGAA
rnacentral:tRNA from 1 species